UUGUAAUUUGUAGAGGGUGUUUCGGGCGCGGCGCCGGUCUAAGUCCCUUGGAACAGGGCGUCGCAGAGGGUGAGAAUCCCGUAUGUGACCGGUGACCAAGCUCGUGUGAAACCCCUUCGACGAGUCGAGUUGUUUGGGAAUGCAGCUCUAAAUGGGUGGUAAAUUUCAUCUAAAGCUAAAUACCGGCCAGAGACCGAUAGCGCACAAGUAGAGUGAUCGAAAGAUGAAAAGCACUUUGGAAAGAGAGUCAAACAGUACGUGAAAUUGUUGAAAGGGAAGCGUUGGCGACCAGACCUGCCCGUGAGCGAUCAACCGUUCUCAGCGAUGCACUCGACGAUCAGGCCAGCAUCGGUUUGGGCGGUCGGAUAAAGGCUUCGAGAAUGUGGCUCAGUGUUAUAGCUCGUGGUGCAAUGCGGCCAGCCCGGACCGAGGACCGCGCUUCGGCUAGGAUGCUGGCGUAAUGGCCGUCAACGACCCGUCUUGAAACACGGACCAAGGAGUCUAACAUCUAUGCGAGUGUUUGGGCGUGAAACCCAUACGCGCAAUGAAAGUGAACGGAGGUGAGAACCCAGGGCGCAUCAUCGACCGAUCCAGAUG
rnacentral:rRNA from 1 species